rnacentral:rRNA from 1 species
UGGACGGGCGGCGUGCUAUACAUGCAAGUCGAGCGGACAGAAGGGAGCUUGCUCCCGGAUGUUAGCGGCGGACGGGUGAGUAACACGUGGGUAACCUGCCUGUAAGACUGGGAUAACUCCGGGAAACCGGAGCUAAUACCGGAUAGUUCCUUGAACCGCAUGGUUCAAGGAUGAAAGACGGUUUCGGCUGUCACUUACAGAUGGACCCGCGGCGCAUUAGCUAGUUGGUGAGGUAACGGCUCACCAAGGCGACGAUGCGUAGCCGACCUGAGAGGGUGAUCGGCCACACUGGGACUGAGACACGGCCCAGACUCCUACGGGAGGCAGCAGUAGGGAAUCUUCCGCAAUGGACGAAAGUCUGACGGAGCAACGCCGCGUGAGUGAUGAAGGUUUUCGGAUCGUAAAGCUCUGUUGUUAGGGAAGAACAAGUGCAAGAGUAACUGCUUGCACCUUGACGGUACCUAACCAGAAAGCCACGGCUAACUACGUGCCAGCAGCCGCGGUAAUACGUAGGUGGCAAGCGUUGUCCGGAAUUAUUGGGCGUAAAGGGCUCGCAGGCGGUUUCUUAAGUCUGAUGUGAAAGCCCCCGGCUCAACCGGGGAGGGUCAUUGGAAACUGGGAAACUUGAGUGCAGAAGAGGAGAGUGGAAUUCCACGUGUAGCGGUGAAAUGCGUAGAGAUGUGGAGGAACACCAGUGGCGAAGGCGACUCUCUGGUCUGUAACUGACGCUGAGGAG